rnacentral:rRNA from 1 species
UACGAGGGGUCCGAGCGUUAAUCGGAAUUACUGGGCGUAAAGCGUACGCAGGCGGCCUUAUAAGCCAGAUGUGAAAGCCCCGGGCUCAACCUGGGAAUUGCAUUUGGAACUGUGAGGCUAGAGUUUUGUAGAGGGUGGUAGAAUUUCAGGUGUAGCGGUGAAAUGCGUAGAGAUCUGAAGGAAUACCAGUGGCGAAGGCGGCCACCUGGACAAAAAACUGACGCUCAUGUACGAAAGCGUGGGGAGCAAA